rnacentral:rRNA from 1 species
AGUGGCGGACGGGUGAGUAACGCGUGAGAAUCUGCCUUCAGGUCGGGGACAACAGAGGGAAACUUCUGCUAAUCCCGGAUGAGCCUUAGGGUAAAAAAUUUAUUGCCUGGAGAUGAGCUCGCGUCUGAUUAGCUAGUUGGUAAGGUAAAAGCUUACCAAGGCAACGAUCAGUAGCUGGUCUGAGAGGACGAGCAGCCACACUGGGACUGAGACACGGCCCAGACUCCUACGGGAGGCAGCAGUGGGGAAUUUUCCGCAAUGGGCGAAAGCCUGACGGAGCAAGACCGCGUGGGGGAGGAAGGCUCUAGGGUUGUAAACCCCUUUUCUUUGGGAAGAACAAAAUGACGGUACCAAAGGAAUCAGCCUCGGCUAACUCCGUGCCAGCAGCCGCGGUAAUACGGAGGAGGCAAGCGUUAUCCGGAAUGAUUGGGCGUAAAGCGUCCGCAGGUGGCAAUGUAAGUCUGCUGUCAAAACCCAGGGCUCAACUCUGGUCAGGCAGUGGAAACUACAUAGCUAGAGUUCGGUAGGGGCAAAGGGAAUUCCCGGUGUAGCGGUGAAAUGCGUAGAGAUCGGGAAGAACAUCGGUGGCGAAAGCGCUUUGCUAGACCGAAACUGACACUCAGGGACGAAAAGCUAGGGGAGCGAAUGGGAUUAGAUACCCC